rnacentral:rRNA from 1 species
GACGAACGCUGGCGGCGUGCCUAAUACAUGCAAGUAGAACGCACAGUUUAUACCGUAGCUUGCUACACCAUAGACUGUUAGUUGCGAACGCGUGAGUAACGCGUAGCUAACCUUCCUGGUAGCGUGGGAUAACUAUUGGUAACGAUAGCUAAUACCGCAUAUUAUUAAUUAUUGCAUGAUAAUUGAUUGAAUGUUGCAAUUGCAUCACUACCAGAUUUACCUGCGUUUUAUUAGCUAUUAGGUGAGGUAACGGCUCAUCUAGGCGACGAUACAUAGCCGACAUGAGAGGGUGAUCGGACAAACUGGGAAGGAGACACGGCCAAGAAUACUACGGGAGGCAGAAGUAGGGAAUAUUCGGCAAUGGACGAAAGUCUGACCGAGCAAAGCCGCGUGAGUGAAGAAGGUGUUCGGAUCGUAAAGCUCUGUUGUAAGAGAAGAAAGGGUGUGAGAGUGGAAAGUUCACACUGUGACGGUAUCUUACCAGAAAGGGACGGCUAACUACGUG